rnacentral:piRNA from 1 species
UCCUUCCAUUGGUGCCCAGCAAGGCCA